ensembl:lncRNA novel transcript
GCUAUGAAUACAUAGUUUAAGUUCUGGGCAAAAACCAUCUAUCCCCGUAUGUAGAUAAAAUAUUUACUUACUGUGUUCUGGGUCUGUUUUCUCCUAGGUAUGGCAACCGUAACUUGAGUAUAAUGCCACCCAAUUAAUGUUGAUGCCUGAAUUAUGAACCAGAGAUGGAGAAGUGAAAUCACAGAGAGACAAGCAACUUCCUAAGGUUACACUGCUAGUGAGUGUGGGCCAGGGUUCAAGCCCAGGCAGCUUGAUGUUGGAGCCGAUGCUCAGAACCACCAUGCUGUAUUAUUAAAAAGGAUUUGAG